AAAGAGACCCAAAUUCAAGUGCUGCAAAGCCAAACAGAGGAAGCCAAGUGGGGGGAUUACGUCCAAAACCCAAUCUUGAUGGUGCCCGUGACUCAUCUGGUGUCUGAUAAUUUGGGACUCAUGUUGCCCCAUAGCAAGCCGCAAGAAGAACCCUCACAGACUUGUAAUAUGUUUUCCAAGGACAUCCAGAGGCUCACGGCUGCGUUUGGACAUAUAUAGUGACGCCGAUGAUUUUAGUAGUACAGUACAGGUGUGGUGGGUACAUUCGUAGAAACAAAGAAUCUUCCGCUCUGUCUGCAAAUUGCAUUACAGUGGUGCAUUUCUGUGUUUUCAUUUAUGCCCUUUCUUUUUUAAUCCUUAAAAAAAAUUAUUAAUGUGUGUAUAUUUUCAAUGCCAAAGCCAUAGGUUUAUUACUUUGCGUACAAUGGAAUCCGAAUCUAUUUU